UACGUAGGGUGCAAGCGUUGUCCGGAUUUAUUGGGUUUAAAGGGUGCGUAGGCGGGAUGUUAAGUUCGUCUUUAAAGCCAGCCGCUCAACGGUAUGGACUGGGAUGGAUACUGGCAUUCUUGAGAGGGCUCGGGGCCGGCGGAAUUUGUGGUGUAGCGGUGAAAUGCAUAGAUACCACAAGGAACACCGAUCGCGUAGGCAGCCGGCCAGGGCCUUUCUGACGCUGAGGCACGAAAGUGCGGGGAGCAAACAGG
rnacentral:rRNA from 1 species